UCUCUCUAAAAUCCAGAAAAUACGAUUAUCCAUUUUUUCUUCUCAAAUUCACACCCAAAAAAAACCCAUGAUAUACGGUGCCACCUCCGGCGAAGCCAUGGUUUUUUUCUCAAAUUCACUCGAAAUUCCGAAACUCGCUGUCUUCCGUCAUUCUAGUUGGUUCUUCCGGCAAAAUAAUAGUUUAUUCCUCAUAUUCCACCGAAAACCCUAAAUUAAAUUCUCCAUUUUCCGCUGUACCAGUUGGGUCCUUCGGCUAAGCUAUUGUUCCUUUCUCAAAUUCACACAGGAACCCUAAAUUAUCAAUCUUCUGCCGCUCCACUUGUGUCCUACGGCCAACCCCACUUCGCCGGUUCAUUGGUAUCAGGGUGUAUUGGAAGUUCUUGUGAAAUUUGAACGCUUUAGGGGGGUUUCGUAUGGUUGGUGAAUUGGGUCUCUGAUGAAGAAGUUUGAUAGGAUUUGGGGUUCGAUUACCAGAGUUUCAAUUAAGCCAUUUGACAGAGUUGAGUGUUUAGCAACUUUCUGGUUGUGAAUGAUGGAUUGUGGAUUUACAUGACUUGUGAUAACUUUCUUGUUUGCAACAUCCGAAUUUGAAUUUCAACCUUGGAUAGACUUAAAGGGAUUUGAAUAUAUUUUGGCGGAAAAAUUUGCAUGGCAGGAAAGGGUGUGUUAGGUUUUACAAGAUCCAAUUCUAAUUCUUUGGAACUUCCUAAGGCGUGUAAUCUCAAGGACCAAGCGAAAAGAACAAUUCUUCGUAAUGUGAGAUCACAAGGGCACACCUAUGUUGAACUUCGUGAAGAUGGGAAAAAGUUCAUUUUCUUCUGUACUUUGUGCUUAGCUCCUUGUCACAGUGAUUCGGUACUGUUUGAUCACUUGAAAGGUAAUCUCCACAGUGAGAGGUUGUCUACUGCCAAGGCUACUCUCUUGAGACCAAACCCGUGGCCGUUUAAUGAUGGUGUUGUCUUCUUUGAUAAUUCAACCGAGAAAGGAGAACAGUUGGCAAUUACAAAUGGAAAUCAAAAUAAGCUAUUGGAGUCUCCAGACAAUGGGAACAGCCUAGCUAUAGUUAGUUAUGGUGAAAAUACAGAAAACUGUGCUAAUAAGCAUCCUAGGAAUGAUGCUUUUGGACGUCAAAAUGAGGAUCUAGAUUAUGCAGUCAUUGAUUCAGAUGUUAACUUCGAUUCCUCUACAGAGAAUCUGACAGAAUCUGGGGGAAAUUGUGCAGCUUUGAUCCCUUAUGUUCGAGUUGGAAAUGAAAUUACUAAUGUAAAAGUGAGGGAAGUGGGUUACGGACUAAUUGCUGCGAGAUUUCAGGAGAAGGGUAGCAUGUCAGAGGAGCUAACCAGGAUAUGGUGUGAGUGGUUGGGGAAAAAUAAUGUAGUGAAUGAGGAUUCAUUUAUUGUUCCUGAGCAUGACUUUGCUAUUGUUACCUUUAGUUAUAAUAAUUUAAAUUUAGGUAGAAUGGGUUUUCUUGAUGAGGUCAAAAAAUUGCUUUGUUCUAGUCCGUCGUCCGAAACUCAAAAUGCUGAAGGCGGUAAAAAAAGAAGGAAAUCAUUUUCCGAUCCUGAGGAUGUUUGUGAAAAUUUGAGUAAUCAUUAUGAUUCAGGCGGGGAAGAUUCUUCAGCUUCUGCAGUAUCAAGUUUAAUGUUAGACCAAUAUGAUGACCAGCUUCUGCAAACUAGAUUUAUUUCGAACAAGGCUGUAAGGCGGGAGUUGAGACGGCAACAGCGCUUAGCAUCUGAAAGAAUGUGUGAUAUUUGCCAACACAAGAUGCUUCCCGGAAAAGAUGUAGCAGCACUCAUGAAUGUGAAGACUGGAAGGCUUGCUUGCAGUAGUCGAAAUGUGAAUGGGGCCUUUCAUUUGUUUCACACUUCCUGCCUCAUACAUUGGGUUCUUCUAUGUGAACUUGAAAUGCUCACAAAUCAGCCAGAUAAUGUAAAAGUUAAACGAAGAUCUCAGAGAAAAACUGCGGCUAAGAACAAUGAAAUGCAAAACGAUAAUGAUAUGAAAGCUCUAAGGCCCCAAAUUAAUUCGGUAUUCUGUCCGGAGUGCCAGGGGACUGGAGCAAUUAUCGACAGGCAUGAUGAGAAACCAACGGUUCCUCUUUCAAAGGUGGGAAAGAACUUGUUCUGUUUGACUCAGAGGAUGAUCUCUACUUUCAGAUGUUCAAGUACAAGAUAAAAGUGAGUGAUGCACGCAGAGCAUGGAUGAAGAGUCCUGAAGUAUUGGAAAAUUGCUCAACAGGGUUUCAUUUCCCAUCCCAACCUGAAGAAAAGCUUCAGGAAAAGGUGAAACAACUAAAGUUGCUGCGUUUCUAUGGAGCUCAUUACUAGAAUUAGAACGUGGAACAUCGGCCUGCGAAGGUGGGUAAUGAAGGAGCAACUGUAAGCUAUUGUGGAUAAGUACAAUGAGAUUGUAUAUAUACCUGUUGACUGCUGUUGUGAUCUAGUCUAACACAGGUCUACAUACUGACAUCAUCUGCAUUGUAAAUUAACUCUUACUAUUCUCCAAUGCAUAUAUGUAUUUUAUAGUUGUGCAGUCUCUCUAUUUUACUAUUCAUUUUGUUCUUUGUUAUGUGUACUAUGUUCAGUGAGUAGUUUGGUAGAUAAAUAACAUAGAUACAGACCUGGUGUACAUGUAUCUAUCAAGGACAGUAUUGUGCUUAUUAUUUGGGGGAACAGAUUAUGAAAGGGUAGCAUUAUUAUUUGCUGCUAACUUUUCCUUCUUUUGCA